UAUCAUCAAACCCCUCGGGUUCGCGCCCGUUGCGGUUUGGAGUUGGGGGUUUGCUGCUGUGAGGCGGCUCCCCUUAAAAUCAUCGGUUUGGCCCGUAUCAUGCGGCUAGCACCUUUGGCGUUGUAUUUUCCUCGCCUUUGAUCGGUCUUGCUCGCUUCCGCGCCUCACUUUGACUUGCCCUCUGGGUGGCGGUCACUUCUUGACA
rnacentral:misc_RNA from 1 species